rnacentral:rRNA from 1 species
UACGGAGGGUGCAAGCGUUGUCCGGAAUCACUGGGCGUAAAGGGCGCGUAGGCGGCUCAUGAAGGCUGUGGUGAAAGUCCGGGGCUCAACCUCGGAUCGGCCGUGGCGACUCGUGGGCUGGAGCACUGUAGAGGCGGGUGGAAUUCCGGGUGUAGCGGUGGGAUGCGUAGAGAUCCGGAAGAACACCAGUGGCGAAGGCGGUCUGCUGGGCCAAGACUGACGCUGAGGCGCGACAGCGUGGGGAGCAAACAGG